rnacentral:rRNA from 1 species
ACAAUAUACGGCUUUAUCGUCGUAUAAUUGGAAUGAGUACAAUUUAAAUCCCUUAACGAGGAACAAUUGGAGGGCAAGUCUGGUGCCAGCAGCCGCGGUAAUUCCAGCUCCAAUAGCGUAUAUUAAAGUUGUUGCAGUUAAAAAGCUCGUAGUUGGACCUUGGGCCUGGACGGGCGGUCCGCCUCACGGCGUGUACUGUCUUGCCGGGCCUUUCCUCUUGGUGAUCUGUUGUUUCGGCAGCAGGGAACCAGGACCUUUACUUUGAAAAAAUUAGAGUGUUCAAAGCAGGCUCGACGCCGGAAUAUAUUAGCAUGGAAUAAUAAAAUAGGACGUGCGGUUCUAUUUUGUUGGUUUUUGGAAUCGCCGUAAUGAUUAAUAGGGACAGUCGGGGGCAUUAGUACUCACAUGCUAGAGGUGAAAUUCUUGGAUUUUGUGAAGACUAACUUCUGCGAAAGCAUUUGCCAAGGAUGUUUUCAUUAAUCAAGAACGAAGGUUAGGAUAUCGAAAACUUAGGCAAACUUGGUCAUUUAGAGGAAGUAAAAGUCGUAACAAGGUAACC